GGACUCACAUCCCAGCCUUGUUCCUUCUGCCGCCCACUGAGCUAUUUGUUGCCACAGGCAACAUUGUGUACCAAUGCCUCUAGGACAACCUUCUGCCACAGAAAGUAUCCAUGGCAACCAGAUGGGGCAGGCAAAUAGAAUUAAGUCCAUAGAUAAUUCCCCAAAGUUGGCUUAGCCAAUAGAUGUCUUAUCAGAGCACUGGACAUUUGGCAAAACUGAGUAUACCAGGCUCCAAAUCCUCUUUGUUGCAUCAUGGUCUACUGGGUAAUGACAUGGCUUAAAAGCAAGCAUCUGAAAAGGAGAAAGGGGAGCCCCAGGCUUGACUGACCAAGAGAAAAACACUGCCCAGGGAAUGAAACAAGCUACGCUUGAAGGUAGCAGAACCAGGUUUUGAACCUCAGUCAUUUUGCGUCACAAAGCAUACUCAACUUGCUACCUCUCAUAGGCUGUCUACCUCCCCUCUCCUUUUCAUAUAUGUAAGGAAGAUGUCAGCACUUACAGGCGUAAUUGGCAAGUAGCAGAAAAAACAGUCAGUUAGAUAAGCAGAAUGGCACAGAAAUCCUCAGCACACAGCACCUGGGCAGUGAAACUGGUGUCUUGCAACUCACCUUCCCACCAGGCCUUGGCCUGAAGCCAAAAGUUAGUAUGGUGCAGAAGGGAGAGAAAGUCCUCCAGCAUCAAAAUAAAGAACAACAGAAAAUUUUAAGUAAGCAGCAGUGGUGGUUGAAGAUAAAGCUUGGACAGGCAACUUUGCUCCAUGAAGAAAGAACCUGCAGUUACCACACAAAUCUUCUCUGAAAGCCUGUCCAUUGGAUUGGAGAUGCAAUGUGAACUCUUCAAGACCUCGAGGAGACAAUCCUGGCCACACAACUAAGCGGAGUCUGCUGGAAGAUCAACUCUAUUGUCUCAUGCUAACAGUAGUCCACACACAGCCUAGAAGAGAAGGAACUGUAGAAGAGUCUCUAAGACCUCUGAGAAACCACACUUGGGCUUGUGUCUCCCCAGUGGUUUUGAUCCUCACUGGCAACGUCAGCCAUUUAACCAGCUGGGAAGGAGAAAGUUUGCCCCUUUCCCCGCAUGACUCCUGCUAGUCUCUAACACACGCACUAGAGGAAAAGCAAUCUCUUAAAAGAGAUGAAAAGAAUAAGAAAGUAGAUCAUGCUGCCCCCAUGCCAAGCCCCUCAGACCGAGAAAGGCAGGAGGAAAAGGGAGGACCCAUGCUAGAUACCAGUUUGAAGUAAUCAGCUGGACUUGACUGGACUGGGCUUUGUUACAUUCCUGAAAGAGGCCAGAAAGCUCACUUUCACCAGAUAUACCCAAGAUAUCAUUGAAAAACAGCAAAAAGCAAUUUGACAUAGCACGGUUGAACAAUAAGAUUAAUUUAAAAAUCAAACUAUUUCAUAUAUGUAGCCAGGCCUCUUCAUACUCAGAAAAAAAGUUCAUGUUAUGAAAAAAUCACCUUGAUUUUUUCCAAAAACAAAAGGGGGAAGGAGAGGAGAGAAAAUAGUUUCUAGCAUAGUGUCCUUAGCACAGACUACAAGCUGAAAACAAAGUUGGUUGCUGAAGCAGAUGAUGCUUGCCUAAGAAAUCACUGAUUUGCAUUUGUAAUCGAGAUACAUAUCAACCUGAACGUUAAAAUACAUGCCCCAGUAAUUAAAAACUGCCCUGGGCCACUCUAACUAGUCCUGGGAAAAUAAUGCACCAAGCACCAGCAAAUAAAAUAAUAAAACACUCAAGAAAAAAAGGAAACAGGCUUCUAGAUCCAUAAUCCUGUUAGCCAAUCCUGACAUUUACCCCCGAAAGCUCCAGUAAGAAAAAAAUUAAUGAGUUUCUAAAUUUACCUCAUAGGACUAUAAGGAAGGGAAGUGCCCUGUAUCUAUUUCAUGUAGUGUGAAAUUCUCUCAAAGCUAUCAAUCUGACUAAACUGAUUAAGUGUGAAAUCUUUCUUUCCUGAACCAAAU